GAUCUUUCAAAUAAAUUAUUUGAUUGUGAUAAUUAUUUUGAAUAUUUCGCAUAUAAAAAUUUGAAAUAGUACUAGGUUCUAUAUCUAGGUCCCUUAGGUACUCAUCAUCUUCAGUGAUUGAAAAUUUUUUUUUGAAAAUCUUCAAAUAGGUAAGUGACGUAUUUUGAGCAUAUUAACAUGCGACGAUCGUUUCUAUGCCAUAAGUGCUUAUAUUUAAAAACUGAUACAAACGGAAAAGUUGAAAAAAUAAGAAAAAAAAAAAACUUAAGGACUGAAUAAAAGAAAACUUAUGAUUAUACAUCUGAUUGUGACAAAAAUAAUAAGUUAUAUGAUUUCGCCCUACAUGGUGAACACCUACAUUCUCUAACUAAUUAUAUGAUUAAAAUACGAAAUGUGCUUAGUUGAUGUACAUAUUGAGGUUCUUAAACAUUUUUCAGAAUCCAGUGGUUCUAUGUAAUUUUUCUAGAAUUAACAUUUUCUUUGUGCUUAAGAUUAUUAGGAACUGUUAAAAUAUUUCAAUGUGAAAUGCGUUAAAUCCGUUACGUUAGUAUAAAUACCCACAUCAUUUGGCUGGAAUGAUGUCAAGAUCGUUUUGUAUUUAGUACCAAUUUCCCACCCCUUGUCGCUGACUUUAUGUGAAUUUUGACGGUCCUUUUCAUAACUUUCAUUUCGGGUUUUAAAAGCCUAAAAUCAAAGCAGUCAUUCUCUUUCAGGCAUCGUGGGACCAAAAUUUGACAACUGCAUUUGUGUAGGUUUUCAUUUGCAGUUGUCAUCUUAGUCAUUGACUUCGGUCAAUUGACGAUUUUUUGUGGACUACAACCUUAGGUUUCACGACCUAAAACCGUAGUCCUGACCUUGACCAGCAAUGGUCGAGGGAAACUCAAUCAAGUUAGUACCAAUUUCCCAUCCUUUGUCGCUGACUUUAUGCCAGUUUUGACGUUGCUCCCAGAGCUUUUAUUUUGGGUUUCAAAAACCUAAAAUCAAAGCAGUCAUUCUUUUUCAGGCAUCGUGGGACCAAAAUUUGACAACUGCAUUUGUGUAGGUUUUCAUUUGCAGUUGUCAUCUAAGUCAUUGAUUUCGGUCAAUUGACGAUUUUUUGUGGACUACAACCUUAGGUUUCACGACCUAAAACCGUAGUCCUGCCUUGACCAGCAAUGGUCGAGGGAUUUAAUUUAAAUUAGUGCCAAACUCCCUACCCGAUGUCGUUGACUUUGGUCAGCUUUGACGUUCCUUUCCUAAAGCUAAGAUUUUGGACUUUUAAAACCUAAAAUCAUGUUGAUCAAUUUCGGGCAUCGUGGGAAAGCCCUGACUUGCGACUGUCAUCGCAGUUAUUGACUUUGUGCCAACUACUAACGGCUUUUUUGAGAAUGUAUAAGUGUGGUUCACCCCUUAUUAGUAAUGGUCGAGGAAACUCUGAUUUAAGUUUCCCUCGCCUUGUUAUUGAUUUCAUGCCAGCUUUGAUGUUUCUUCCCCAAAUGUAUGAGUUUAGAUAUUAAUCUUAAUAUUGUUGCAUUAUUGCAGGUAUUACAUACCUAUUGUUUGAUUUUUAUGUGCAUAAUGAAGUGCCUUUUUAUGUAACGAUAUUUCUGUGUAGAUAUCGAUGGGGAUGUUUUCUUAUUAAACUGGACAUCAGCCUGUAUUCUUCGUAUUGGAGCAACUUUUUGAAAUGCCUGAACUACGUCGUGGUAAUUACAAGGGUAACAACCAAGUUGUCAUAAAAUUAUGUAUAAAAUACGCUUUCUGUAUAAAUUAUUUAUUAACAAUUUUCAUGUGAAAUGGUCAAUUGAAAGCGUAUUUUUUACUUAAUUAAACGAUAUUUCUCUGUAGAUAUCGAUGGUGAUGUGUUUGCUUACUAAACUGGACAUCAGCUUGUAUUCUUCGUAACGGAGCAAGUUUUUGAAGUGCCUGAACUACGUCGUGGUAAUGACAAGGGUAACAACCAAGUCGUCAUAAAAUUGAGUAUAAAAUACGCUUUCUAUGUAAAUUAUUUAUUAACAUAUUUCAUAUCAAAUGGUCAAUUGAAAGCUUAUUUUUUACUUAAUUUUGUCUUUCAAUGAGAAAUUGGGUCCAGUCCAACUUUCCUUCAAGUUCUGGAGUUCAGAGUAUUGGUGCAAUUAAAAGUGGAAUAUUCUUGACACUGAUAAGUUAUCUUUUUCCUAUUAACUUGGUUAAUGAAAUACUUAUUUUAAAAAUAAUCUCUUUUUAACUUCUAAACAUGCAAUUAUUGAACAAAAUAAUUUUAGAAUGAAGCCGAUCCAGAUCCUGCCUGUAUGCCACAGCUCCUCCUAAAGAGAUAAAAUGGGAAGAUGUGUCGGGACAACAGGGAGCAAUCACCAUCUGGACCUUUUUUAGUUGUGUUAUUGUAAUGUUCAGGUAUAUGAUUACUGCUUAGAGUGCUAAAUAUUCGUUAAAAGAUGAAUUAUCCUUAUUUAGUAAAUUAUUUUUGUAUUUAAAGAUUUAAUUAGUUAAAUUCAUUUUGUUUGUUGUAUUCAAAAUUAACUUUAAGCAUUAGUUUAAGAUAUUCGUGUAUUUAUUUAAUAAAAUUGACGUAAUCUGUUUACUAACUUAGUAUAAGCCUUAGCGUAAUUUAAUUUUAAAUAAAUUAAGUAGUUCGUAAUAAUUAGUGUAAGAUGUUUCUGUAUUUAAUAAAAUUGAGGUAAUCUUGUUGCUUACUUAGUAUAAGCCUUAGAGUAAUAUAAUUUUAGAUAGAUUAAGUAGCUAGUACUAAUUAGUUUAAG